CGAACGCUGGCGGCGUGCUUAACACAUGCAAGUCGAACGGAAAGGCCCUGCUUUUGUGGGGUGCUCGAGUGGCGAACGGGUGAGUAACACGUGAGUAACCUGCCCUUGACUUUGGGAUAACUUCAGGAAACUGGGGCUAAUACCGGCUAGGAGCUCCUGCUGCAUGGUGGGGGUUGGAAAGUUUCGGCGGUUGGGGAUUGACUCGCGGCUUAUCAGCUUGUUGGUGGGGUAGUGGCUUACCAAGGCUUUGACGGGUAGCCGGCCUGAGAGGGUGACCGGCCACAUUGGGACUGAGAUACGGCCCAGACUCCUACGGGAGGCAGCAGUGGGGAAUAUUGCACAAUGGGCGGAAGCCUGAUGCAGCAACGCCGCGUGCGGGAUGACGGCCUUCGGGUUGUAAACCGCUUUCGCCUGUGACGAAGCGUGAGUGACAGUAAUGGGUAAAGAAGCACCGGCUAACUACGUG
rnacentral:rRNA from 1 species